AACGAACGCUGGCGGCAUGCCUAACACAUGCAAGUCGAACGAGACCUUCGGGUCUAGUGGCGCACGGGUGCGUAACGCGUGGGAACCUGCCCUUAGGUUCGGAAUAACUCCCCGAAAGGGGUGCUAAUACCGGAUAAUGUCUUCGGACCAAAGAUUUAUCGCCUUUGGAUGGGCCCGCGUUGGAUUAGCUAGUUGGUAGGGUAAAAGCCUACCAAGGCGACGAUCCAUAGCUGGUCUGAGAGGAUGACCAGCCACACUGGGACUGGGACCCGGCCCAGACUCCACGGGGAGGCGGCGUGGGGAAUAUUGGACAAUGGGCGAAAGCCUGAUCCAGCAAUGCCGCGUGAGUGAUGAAGGCCUUAGGGUUGUAAAGCUCUUUUACCCGGGAUGAUAAUGACAGUACCGGGAGAAUAAGCUCCGGCUAACUCCGUG
rnacentral:rRNA from 1 species